UGACAAGAUAACAGCGUGAAACCAUCAAAACUUAUAGAUAAGUUUGAGACGUAUCACGUGGUCGGGGCAGCCAGACCCGGCGGGGCUGGACGGCGGCGAUGGGCCAAGGCAGCAACGGUGGGUAGCAGCAAGAGCUCGCGGCCAUGGGAGGAGUUGCAGCUCGGCGGCUUCGGGCGGAUGCAGACGACGAGGUGCUCGGGGACGGGCUGCUGCAAUUGGCUGGGGCGGCGACGACCUGAACGACGAUGGGGUCGGCUCGUCUCGGACGACGUGGCAGCGGUGCAGCACUGCGCGGGGCAGAGCACGCGUGAGGAGGCAAGGCGGGGAACGGGGUGGAGCAGGGAGAUCACCUCCUCCGAACCAGAUCGAGGCAGCGAUCGGCUCGGGUGCUGGCUGGAUGGAUGCAGAGCAUCGAUUGCUUGGCAGGGCCACGAGGAGGGUGUUUGGGUCAGCUGGGUAUCUGAGAGGAUCCCGAGAUGGGUUAUGUGGCUGGUGGCAGCUGGGAGGAGUGGAUCGAGGUAGGUCUAGGGUUAGGGUAGGCUUGAUCCAGAAUCUCAUAUACAUAGCCACUAAUUUCUACAUGGUUCUAAUUAGAGCCCUCCGAUCUAAAUCGAAAAACCACUUAAAAAUAGGCUAGGUUGGUCCUAUUGAAAAACCGAUGACGGUUUGCGGUAAAAUGGGGUUGCUCCGGAUCCAACGGUCAUGACCGCCGAGUUCAGGUUCCGGGAGGUUUUGGGCUAGGUUGCGCGCAGGUCGGUGCAGUAUGCAGCGGGGCUAGGUGAAGAUGAGAGGGAAAAUGGGCAACCCGGCGACACAGUUUAAAACAACAAAAGACGUCCGGCGAUGGGCAGCUAUAGUGUCGCUGUAGUUUUAAUGGUUGGGGUAUCAAACGAACUCCGAUCGCGAUGAAAUUUGGCAGGUGGCCUACCUACAUUAAAAGAAGACCGCACACCAAGUUUCAACCCAAUCCGAGAAUUAUUUGUACAAUCUUUUUAACGAUGUUGCAGGCGCGUGCGUGUGUGGUUGGUCUCAAAACGGUCCACGACAAAAACGGAGGGAACCGGCAACUAAUAACGGAUAUAAGUUUUCCAACUGGCGGCAACAUAGUGCUGAUGCAAUACAGAUGAUGCGAAUGAUGCGAUGAUGAAUGCGACAAACAAAUAAAUCGCACGAUGACAGUGGAAUAAAAGGGGAAUCUUCUGGAGCAUCGGUCUCGGGCUGUUACAACAAUCUAGGCUCCGGGCUUCCCGCCAGUCGCUUUCUGCGGCAGUUCCUAGAGUUCUACGGCCUCCAGAUCCAUCAUCUCAGACCAAACUUGAUCCAGUACAUCGCUUUCCUCGCGACGCUAUGCGAAGGUUACUUCGGCUUUGGCCUUUCUCUUCUCCCUUUCCCGUCUUCUUUCUCUUCCACGUCCAGAAGAAUGGCGAUGUGCCCUAAGCCUAUGGGGGUGCGGUGUUGUACUCCCGGUGGAACACUUCUUCCCACGCAUGAAGCAUCGGGGAGGGGCACGAUUGGAUCAAACUUCCAUCGUUCGUAGAUGCACCGCCGACUGGCUCCAACUAGCUCCUCGAGCCACGCAGAAAGGAAAUCACCGGGAUCCUCAGUUGGCGACAGCAGCUCAAGGCCUCGGAGGGGCUGAAGCCCGCGGAUUUGGUAGCAGCCUUCAUCUCAUGUUCUGCAUUGCCACUCCAGGAGCAACUGCACCGCAUUUGCGACAUGGUUUCAAUAAGUAUCCAUGCCGGCUGCCAAGUAUCGACGGGGUGCCGGUAAGAUAGCCGCCAGCUAAACACCGUCACCGACUUCAAGUUUCGUGUGGACGACUGGUGAUUGGACAAGGAGCCGUUCUACCACAACUUUCCCAUGUUGGGGGUAAGUUUCAACACUCUUGCCUUGUUUUAAUUUUCUGACAUGACGACUGACGCACGGUGGGCCGCUCCUUUCAGCUUUUCAGCCGACAACUAACGUCGGAUGGCCCAAACCUGCAGAAUCAUGCGACCGACCACAUUGAUUAUGAGAUGGACGGAGACGACUCUGAUGCCUCCGGGGAUCAAAAGUGUCGGAGGAGAAGGAGGAGGACGAGGGGGAGGCACCGGCCAGCACCACUGCCCGUGGGUCUAGGCCAGCCGGUGAGUCUUGACCCGAUGUGAUCUUGAAGGAUUGCAUGAAUGACGAUGAUGAUGUAGUACAUAUUGUGGAUGCACCGCCUGUCAUAGUGGAGUCACCGCAACGACAUGGCGAGGACCUUCCGGCUAGGCGCCAGCCAUCCUGCUGGCACACAAUGGAGGAACGGUAGAGGGAUAAGCGACCGAUCAAGGGGUCGUCAAUCAACCGAGCCGCCAAGAAGGCACGAUCUGUCGGGCUGUCGUUGGGGCAGAGGUUCCCGAGGCAUAGCAGGCGUCCGCUCCCCCUCGUGUGUGGGUAAGUGUUUUUCGUGUUUGAGCUCGUGCUCUUCUCUUUCUAUUUCUGGCUUGCAGUGUUUUGAGCUUGUGCUCAUUUCUUUUCCCUUUCUGUGGCAAUGAGGCCAUCGAUUUUCCGCCGCUAGCCUCGUGGAGCCUGGUCGACGAGGUGGCCUCGAAGUUGGUCACUGAGCAUGCCACGACGGCGCGGCUCAACAAGGAGCACACCACCCAGGUUCAGUUGGCCAAGGUGGCUGCUGUAGCAGCCACCCAGAGCGACCCCACGGCUAAGGUGGGAAGCGACGCAAUGAUGCGGGCGGCCCCCGAGGCUUGUGCCCCGUCGACUUCGUCAGCUCACAUGGAGCAGCGUCAGGAGCCGACCCCGGAGUAGGCCCUAGAGACGGAGGCGUUGCAGGCUAUGAAGCCAGCGGUGGUGGAGGAGUAGGGGUUGUUGAGCCCGACGAUGGAGCUGCCAAGCUGGUGUGAGCGUGGGGCCAAAGACGGGGACGACCGGGCCAUGGUCAUUUCAUCGGCACAACCAAGUCCGGACGCAUCGGGGGCGUCCGGCAGCGGGGCCUGCCGGACGGGUCGGUCGAUGUCUGCCGUGCCGGAGUCCUAGGGAAAGCUGAAUCAUGCACCGGGGGCAGCCGGGGAGACCGUGCCGUUUUGGGAGCAGGCUAUCGUGCCAACCGGUGCGGUAUCAUCAGGGGUUGGCCUCCUUCGCACAUUCAGCGGUGAGCGACUUCCAGCUGGUGGAGUAGGCCCUCCAUGUAGGCGACGCAAAAUUUUGUUUUCCGUUUCUUUGUUUUCCAACAGGUGGUGGGUGCCAGCGCACCCACUGGGUGUAGUCCAUGAGAUUCAGGCCGGCUGCGCGGCCUCAUGGCAGCCAUGCCAAAUCUUCCUUUGAAUCUUCCUAACUUCUCCGUUGAUUCCUUCGCAGCGUGACACCGCGAAUCAUGAUGCAUUUUUAAAAGAGGCUGCCGCGCUGUGUUGUUUCAGCAAGAAUGCCUACUUCAAGGAAGGAGCUCAAGGCCUGCAUGGCCGAGCUACAAAAAGCUCGAGUACAUCUUCGGGUGGUGGGAAUGCGCCAGUGCACCCACCAGGUGCAUUUCCCGAGAUUCGGGCUAGAGGGGGCCAUCCCCGAGGCCAAGCCGGGAAGCUGCACCACGCGCUCGUCGACAUCCGAGGGAAGUGUGAUGAGGUUACCGAGGAUCUCAACCUGUCGGGGAAGGAGCUUGAGGCCGAGCGGGCGGCAAGGGAGCGCAGCUGAAGGCCGCCCACAUGGCAGAGUUUGAGCGUUCACCGGGGUACUCCAGAAGGAGGCGAUGGAGAAGGAGGAUGCGUCAAGGGCGUUGCUGCAAGUAGGCAGGAGGCAGAGACCCUUCUUGCCGAGGUGGCUCGGCUCAGAGAGGAGCACCGCCGGGCGGAGGCGGUCAAGGCGAAGGAGGAGCGGGAGGCGGUCGACAUGCUCAACCUCUUCCACGAGGUAGAAGAGGCUUUGUCGAGUGAAUGUCUUGGCUUUUUCUUGGUUGCGUUAGGGCGACAGCCGGUGCGAGCCGGCAUCCGGUGCCGGCCUUUACCUUUCUUGUCUUGCGUCUUAAUCUUUUUGGUGGUCCAGCUCAUUUCCUAGAGUCUCUGCCGUGGGUGGAGCGAGCCGUUGCAGAGCGUCGAGAGAAACUACAUCGGGAUGGGGGCAAGGUGGAGGGGAGCACUGGCUUGGUGAUAGAGGAGGUGACCCUUGCGUGCAAGGUCUGGUUGACCCACAUGCAGGAGGUCCUUGGGCGGAACAGGACGACAGACGAGGUCCUCAUCAAAGCUCUCUUGUCUUAUCGUGCGACGGAGAUUCCCAAGGCCACGUGGCCAGGUGGCUCGAUAAUGCCGUUGGGUGCUUGGAUGCGUGGAUGGCAUCUGCGGUGCGGAGCAACGCCCGAAUUGCUCUAUGCUUUGCCCUCUCCUGGUACACAGGCAGCAGCCUGGCCCAGCUGGCCAACAUGCGGGCAGAGGCCGGAGUGACUUGGCACGAGGCAACGAGGCGAUCAUCCUCCGGGCCAACAAGCUCGCCAGCUAUGCGUCGCUGGAAGUGUACUUUCCAGAUCCGAGGGAGGACGGCACACCCAUCCCAAAGGAAUUGAUUGGUGUCCCGCUCGGUUGCGGCUAUGAGGAGGUUGGAUCCAGCUCGGGGAGCAUGCCACUGACGAUGUGGUGGGCGAGGUGGACGCCACACGGGGACGCGUCCUUUGUGGGAACGGGAGAACCACCGGCUGACGACGUGGAAGUGAGCCAGAAGAUUCCGCUGGCUGGAGAUGCGUAGGCGAUCCAGAAGACUCCAGCGGCUGGUGACUUGGCCGCGGGCUAGAUGCUCGCUCCAUGUGCUCUGCUCCCUUUGACUUUUUUCAUGUCGGCAGUACAUCCAGGUUAUGGUCUAUGGUCGGGCGAGGAGUGGGCUGUGGAAGGGCAGGGGUAUGGUACUUUAGAUUUUUGCAAGUUUGGAUUGAAACAGACCACUUAGCGCGGCGGGACCCGACCCGCCCCUUGUGGUUUUUCCUGUCCACCCUGCCCCUUUGCUUUUGCUCCCGCCGGCAAGAUAGCCAGGUUGUGGUCUUUAGCCAGGUAAGGGUUAGGCCGUGGGUGAGGGGGUAUAGUACUUAGCUGGUCCGGGGAGGGUUUGUGUGGGUCAGCCAGUCCCCGAGCCAGCUAGGCCGGUCCGGGGGCGGCCAGUAAAAAGAUAAUAACUUUUCCACAAAUAU